CUCUCUCUCUCUCUCUCUCGCUCUCUCUCUCUCUCUCUAAUUUUAAAUGAAAAGGUCAUCAAUUGGUUGCUACCUAUUUGGCCUUCCCUCCCUUUUUAAGGGGCAGUCAUGAAAGUAUUUAAGAAAGUUUUGUGCAUUUGUGCACGUGUUGCUCAUUGCAUGGAACUCUAGCAACACAUAUUUGCUGUAGUAUUGAUUGUAGUUAAUUUAGAGGAUCUAAAUUUAGUACUAACUUACAUGGUUGCUUUGUAAAAUUUUAAGCUAGAAGCACUGCAACACUGAAAAGGAGGAAAUGUUGCUUCAGGAGGUGGAAAACACAUUAAACUGAGGCAGUCUUAUACAUAUCGUAGGCAUUUUUUUUUAUACGUCAUUCACUAGCUAAAUUAUAAUAGUUCCUUUGUGGUCUAGAUGUAUGAAUUGGAUGGUUUUGGCUUUUGAAUCUUUUCUUCCAAUUAUGUAUUCACUAAUGAGUCUUGUUCUACUAACAUUAUGAUGUGUUCAGAAGUUAUUGCCAAAGUUAACCUUUACCCUCGCUCCAGCCUAUCCAACCUUUCGAGGCUUUAUUUUUCCUGAUUUUGUUUGAUUAGACGGCUUAUUGCUUAACCCAAGGCCACAGUGCAGUCUGGUUUUACCCAUCAAAGACAAAACAAAAUGAGCAAAUAUUGAUCAUAUGUCUCUUUUUGAAUUCUGCCUUAAUUCAUCUCUUCUUUUCUUCUUUAUUGCAGUAGUGUUUACAUAAUCCUGGCAUUGUGCAUUGCUUGACAUAAUGGACCUUAAAGGUAUAUUGUGAAGAUUGCCUUGAGUGGAUGAAUGCUAGUUUAUUGGUAAAGGAUCUUAUAACUUUAUAUGCUUUAUUGGCUUUUAUCGGUGUCAGAUUUGAGGCUAGUCAGCAACUUGGCAUUAUUUAUCAUUUAAUAGAAUGAGGUGGUGGGGUCUUGUAAUGCUAUUUAUAGUCAUAAACAUGGUUAAGAACAUGCCAGCAACGAAUUCCUUUGUAUAUGGAAGGUUGUUGAUCGAGUGCCCAAGGCUGCUGAUAUUCAUGGAAGCAGUGGUCAUUAGUUUAGGUGAAGAAGCAGG
rnacentral:lncRNA from 1 species